rnacentral:rRNA from 1 species
CCUACGGGAGGCUGCAGUCGAGAAUCAUUCACAAUGGGGGAAACCCUGAUGGUGCGACGCCGCGUGGGGGAAUGAAGGUCUUCGGAUUGUAAACCCCUGUCAUGUGGGAGCAAAUUAAAAAGAUAGUACCACAAGAGGAAGAGACGGCUAACUCUGUGCCAGCAGCCGCGGUAAUACAGAGGUCUCAAGCGUUGUUCGGAAUCACUGGGCGUAAAGCGUGCGUAGGCUGUUUCGUAAGUCGUGUGUGAAAGGCGCGGGCUCAACCCGCGGACGGCACAUGAUACUGCGAGACUAGAGUAGUGGAGGGGGAACCGGAAGUCUCGGUGUAGCAGUGAAAUGCGUAGAUAUCGAGAGGAACACUCGUGGCGAAGGCGGGUUCCUGGACAUUAACUGACGCUGAGGCACGAAGGCCAGGGGAGCGAAAGGGAUUAGAUACCCUGGUAGUC